rnacentral:rRNA from 1 species
AUCGGAACGUGUCCUGUAGUGGGGGAUAGCCCGGCGAAAGCCGGAUUAAUACCGCAUACGCUCUACGGAGGAAAGGGGGGGAUCUUAGGACCUCCCGCUACAGGGGCGGCCGAUGGCAGAUUAGCUAGUUGGUGGGGUAAAGGCCUACCAAGGCGACGAUCUGUAGCUGGUCUGAGAGGACGACCAGCCACACUGGGACUGAGACACGGCCCAGACUCCUACGGGAGGCAGCAGUGGGGAAUUUUGGACAAUGGGGGAAACCCUGAUCCAGCAAUGCCGCGUGUGUGAAGAAGGCCUUCGGGUUGUAAAGCACUUUUGUCCGGAAAGAAAUCCUCUUCGCUAAUACCGAGGGGGGAUGACGGUACCGGAAGAAUAAGCACCGGCUAACUACGUGCCAGCAGCCGCGGUAAUACGUAGGGUGCAAGCGUUAAUCGGAAUUACUGGGCGUAAAGCGUGCGCAGGCGGUUCGCUAAGACAGAUGUGAAAUCCCCGGGCUUAACCUGGGAACUGCAUUUGUGACUGGCGGGCUAGAGUAUGGCAGAGGGGGGUAGAAUUCCACGUGUAGCAGUGAAAUGCGUAGAGAUGUGGAGGAAUACCGAUGGCGAAGGCAGCCCCCUGGGCCAAUACUGACGCUCAGC